ACAGUACUUAUUUAUUUGUAUCGUACUUUGACUAAGCUGAAGGAUCCAAGAGCUAGUGAUAUCGACAAUCCCUCAAAGAUACAGUCACUUUUUCCAUCACAUAUAAUUGGGUGCUUAAAGAAUCUAGAAUCAAUUGUAUUAGAGGAUUGCCAGUUGCUGGAAGUUAUAUUUCAACUUGAAGAACUAAAUUUUGAGGAAAGUGUUAGAACCCCUUUCCCUCUCCCUUGUUUGUGUGUGUGUGUUUGUUUCUCAAAAAAAAAAAAAAAAAAUUGAGGAAAGUCAAGUAGCAUCAGUUCUUGAUCAGUUAAGAGAAUUGAAUCUAUAUAAUUUACCAAAACUGAUGCACAUAUGGAAGAAGGGUCCAGAAGGGAUUUCAGGUUUUGGAAACUUGAGAUUGUUAGUAGUAUGGGGAUGUAACAGUCUGACAUAUUUGUUCUCACCAUCCAUAGCAAAAUUUCUUGUGAUGUUAGAGGAAAUACAAGUUACUAAAUGUGAAAAAAUUGAAGAAAUCCUUAUAAGAGCUACAGAAGAAGAAAAAAAUUUGUUCCACAAAGUGAACUCAAUAUUGCUUAGGGACUUACCAAAUCUGAAGUGCUUUUGCAAUGAAGCCAUUGCUUUUGAGUGGCCAUCCCUAAAGAAAAUGAUGGUAAUUAGAUGUCCCAAUUUAAGGACGUUUGUUCCAUCCAAUCUAAAGACACCUGAGCUGAAAGGAGUAUAUGAAGACAUUGAAUUCAAAAUAAGUCAGUGGAAGGGAGACCUUAAUGCCACCAUAGAGCACAUAUUCAAAGGAAAGGGAAAACAGGUAGAUCACGAGACGUAGCAACAAGUGUAAACUGAAACCACUAAAUCUGAGAAGGAUAUGUGUUGCUGGGCAAGGCAUACAGGAGGUCCUUUCGUUAAUCCAAGCAUGCUGGGAACGUUAUUAAUUGACCAGGGCAUCCAGAGAAUUGGAAAGAAGAAAGGAAAGAAAUGGAAAGAGCUUGGUGGUGCCAAUCAGACAACAGCUUGGUUGUAGGAAUUCCUUAUGGAGGCCAAAUUAUAUUUAUAUACACGUGGAAUUGAUGGAAACCAUAAAAUGUCUCCAAGAUAUAGAAUAUACAUUUUCUUGUUAAUGAGGAAUGCUCAUCUCUGCAUUUUCAUUUUCACUCUUUGGCUUUAACUUUUUCUUUAUGAUACUUCACUUUUUAUUCUUUGACAUUUAUCACCACUAGUUGCAGACCCACACAAUGCGUGGGAAUAUACAACUAUUUUGUGACAUGGUAUAAUGUAUGAUUUAUUCUCUAA